rnacentral:rRNA from 1 species
AGUGAACGCUGGCGGUAGGCCUAACACAUGCAAGUCGAACGGCAGCACAGUAAGAGCUUGCUCUUACGGGUGGCGAGUGGCGGACGGGUGAGGAAUACAUCGGAAUCUACUUUUUCGUGGGGGAUAACGUAGGGAAACUUACGCUAAUACCGCAUACGACCUACGGGUGAAAGCAGGGGAUCUUCGGACCUUGCGCGAUUGAAUGAGCCGAUGUCGGAUUAGCUAGUUGGCGGGGUAAAGGCCCACCAAGGCGACGAUCCGUAGCUGGUCUGAGAGGAUGAUCAGCCACACUGGAACUGAGACACGGUCCACACUCCUACGGGAAGCAGCAGUGGGGAAUAUUGGACAAUGGGCGCAAGCCUGAUCCAGCCAUACCGCGUGGGUGAAGAAGGCCUUCGGGUUGUAAAGCCCUUUUGUUGGGAAAGAAAAGCAGCAGGUUAAUACCCCGCUGUUCUGACGGUACCCAAAGAAUAAGCACCGGUUAACUUCGU